rnacentral:rRNA from 1 species
GCCCUUUCGGGGUACACGAGUGGCGAACGGGUGAGUAACACGUGGGUAAUCUGCCCUGCACAUCGGGAUAAGCCUGGGAAACUGGGUCUAAUACCGAAUAGGACCACAGGACACAUGUCCUGUGGUGGAAAGCUUUUGCGGUGUGGGAUGGGCCCGCGGCCUAUCAGCUUGUUGGUGGGGUGAUGGCCUACCAAGGCGACGACGGGUAGCCGGCCUGAGAGGGUGUCCGGCCACACUGGGACUGAGAUACGGCCCAGACUCCUACGGGAGGCAGCAGUGGGGAAUAUUGCACAAUGGGCGAAAGCCUGAUGCAGCGACGCCGCGUGGGGGAUGACGGCCUUCGGGUUGUAAACCUCUUUCACCAUCGACGAAGGUCCGGGUUUUCUCGGGCUGACGGUAGGUGGAGAAGAAGCACCGGCCAACUACGUGCCAGCAGCCGCGGUAAUACGUAGGGUGCGAGCGUUGUCCGGAAUUACUGGGCGUAAAGAGCUCGUAGGUGGUUUGUCGCGUUGUUCGUGAAAUCUCACGGCUUAACUGUGAGCGUGCGGGCGAUACGGGCAGACUUGAGUACUGCAGGGGAGACUGGAAUUCCUGGUGUAGCGGUGGAAUGCGCAGAUAUCAGGAGGAACACCGGUGGCGAAGGCGGGUCUCUGGGCAGUAACUGACGCUGAGGAGCGAAAGCGUGGGGAGCGAACAGGAUUAGAUACCCUGGUAGUCCACGCCGUAAACGGUGGGUACUAGGUGUGGGUUUCCUUCCUUGGGAUCCGUGCCGU